UAGUAGCGGCGAGCGAAGCGGGAAGAGCUCAAAUUUAUAAUCUGGCACCUUCGGUGUCCGAGUUGUAAUCUCUAGAAAUGUUUUCCGCGUUGGACCGCACACAAGUCUGUUGGAAUACAGCGGCAUAGUGGUGAGACCCCCGUAUAUGGUGCGGACGCCCAGCGCUUUGUGAUACAUUUUCGAAGAGUCGAGUUGUUUGGGAAUGCAGCUCAAAUUGGGUGGUAAAUUCCAUCUAAAGCUAAAUAUUGGCGAGAGACCGAUAGCGAACAAGUACCGUGAGGGAAAGAUGAAAAGCACUUUGGAAAGAGAGUUAACAGUACGUGAAAUUGUUGGAAGGGAAACGCUUGAAGUCAGACUUGCUUGCCGAGCAAUCGGUUUGCAGGCCAGCAUCAGUUUUCCGGGAUGGAUAAUGGUAGAGAGAAGGUAGCAGUUUCGGCUGUGUUAUAGCUCUCUGCUGGAUACAUCUUGGGGGACUGAGGAACGCAGUGUGCCUUUGGCGGGGGUUUCGACCUCUUCACACUUAGGAUGCUGGUGGAAUGGCUUUAAACGACCCGUCUUGAAACACGGACCAAGGAGUCUAACAUGCUUGCGAGUAUUUGGGUGUCAAACCCGGAUGCGUAAUGAAAGUGAAUGGAGGUGGGAACCGCAAGGUGCACCAUCGACCGAUCUGGAUUUUUAAUGAUGGAUUUGAGUAAGAGCACGUAUGUUGGGACCCGAAAGAUGGUGAACUAUGCCUGAAUAGGGCGAAGCCAGAGGAAACUCUGGUGGAGGCUCGUAGCGGUUCUGACGUGCAAAUCGAUCGUCAAAUUUGGGUAUAGGGGCGAAAGACUAAUCGAACCAUCUAGUAGCU
rnacentral:rRNA from 1 species